UUAUGUUAGCAAAUGUGACGUAAACAACGUCGACAGAGAAUCGAUAUAUAUUCAGUUGCCAGCCCAAUGUGGUCACUAAUCGCGGAGAGAACUUUCAUGCAAUUAGUGUCUCGUUAAUUGAGUCAGCGUGCUCCUCCUUUCGGAUCAAAGUUUACACAUUUCUGGCGGAAAUGGCGAAGUUCUGUUUGGUUUUGUUCCUGGCCUGUGCGCUCAUGCUGGUUGCAGCACAGAGGGGGUGUCCGCCAAUUGGACCUGGUACUGUAGGCGUCUGUGGUGGAACUUUCUGCUCUUCUAACAGAGACUGUAGCGGUGGCAUCUGCUGUCCCAGUGCUUGCGGAGGGAAGCUCUGCACUCCACGACAAGGAUAACUGGAAUACCGAGAUGAAACCAGUCCCAAAGAUUCAAUACAACCGUUGAAUGUGGGUGCAGUCCAUGCCAACAGAAGUAUGCAAAAUGUCAUCAGUGUGUUGAAUACAGUAUCCAGUGAAAAUUCCAAUGAAACUUUUUCUCUAAUCUGAUUCUUUAAUCUUAAGAAUUCUGCAUUAUAACUGAAUUGCUGAAUAAAUAAUACAAGUAAUACUGGUA